rnacentral:rRNA from 1 species
UACGGAGGGGGCAAGCGUUGUUCGGAUUUACUGGGCGUAAAGGGUGUGUAGGCGGCUGCGCAAGUCUGGUGUGAAAUCUUCACCGCUCAACGGGAAGAGGUCAUUGGAAACUGCGUGGCUUGAGUAUGGUAGAGGCAGGCGGAAUUCCAGGUGUAGCGGUGGAAUGUGUAGAUAUCUGGAAGAACACCGGUGGCGAAGGCGGCCUGCUGGGCCAUCACUGACGCUGAAACACGAAAGCGUGGGGAGCGAACGGG